rnacentral:rRNA from 1 species
ACAGCAGCAGCCGCGGUAAUACAGAGGGUGCAAGCGUUAAUCGGAAUUACUGGGCGUAAAGCGCGCGUAGGUGGUUUGUUAAGUUGGAUGUGAAAGCCCCGGGCUCAACCUGGGAACUGCAUCCAAAACUGGCAAGCUAGAGUACGGUAGAGGGUGGUGGAAUUUCCUGUGUAGCGGUGAAAUGCGUAGAUAUAGGAAGGAACACCAGUGGCGAAGGCGACCACCUGGACUGAUACUGACACUGAGGUGCGAAAGCGUGGGGAGCAAACAGGAUUAGAUACCCGCGUAGUCCCUGUCUCUUAUAC